AGUGAACGCUGGCGGCAUGCCUUACACAUGCAAGUCGAACGGUAACAGGUUAAGCUGACGAGUGGCGAACGGGUGAGUAAUGUAUCGGAACGUGCCCAGUCGUGGGGGAUAACUGCUCGAAAGAGCAGCUAAUACCGCAUACGACCUGAGGGUGAACGCGGGGGGUCGCAAGACCUCGCGCGAUUGGAGCGGCCUAUAUCAGAUUAGGUAGUUGGUGGGGUAAAGGCCUACCAAGCCUACGAUCUGUAGCUGGUCUGAGAGGACGACCAGCCACACUGGGACUGAGACACGGCCCAGACUCCUCCGGGAGGCAGCAGUGGGGAAUUUUGGACAAUGGACGCAAGUCUGAUCCAGCCAUGCCGCGUGCGGGAAGAAGGCCUUCGGGUUGUAAACCGCUUUUGUCAGGGAAGAAAAGGGUGUUUCUAAUACAGACGCCUCAUGACGGUACCUGAAGAAUAAGCACCGGCUAACUACGUGCCAGCCGCCGCCGUAACAC
rnacentral:rRNA from 1 species